CGUUUUUUGUUGCAGUUAUGGACUUUAUUACGCGGAUCGCUCUGGAAAAUAAGUCGACAAUACAAUAAGCAGACAGGAGUGAUUUUUUUCUCAAGGCGAAACUUUUUUGAUGAAGCAAAGAACAUUCAGUUUUACGUUAUGCGCAUUAACUUCAAGCCAUGCCAGCUUUACUUUGAACGACAACUUGCAAAAGAAAAUAAGGCAUAUCUGAAGAAAUAUCUGAAGGAAACACCUGAGGAAAAUGAAAGUCCUGAGGAAUAUACAUUACGGAUGUUUGAUUCAUUCUUGGCAACCAGUUGCCGUCAACUAAUGGACAUAAGUUCGAGGGGCAGCAGGCAUAACAUGAAUAAUGGUGCAAAAUGUGUAUGUCUUCUCGUUGAUGAUUGGCUGAAAGACUUGUCAAAAGACUCUUAGUGUAAAUUCUUUGUAACAAACAAUAUUUGUUAUUUUACACCAAACAAUGAUUGCGUAAUGUAUUAGAACUACCAAAAUGUAAUGACUUGAAACAGAUUGUGUACGCUGUAUUAAGGAAAUUUCGGUCGACCAAUGAUUUGCAAGAUUUUCAAAAUUCUAUAAAUAUGCGCAAGAAGUUUUAAAGACUUCUUAUAUCAAAAACUCCUUUACCAGCAUCACAAACGAAAAGAAUUAAUCAAAUGUAGUAAAGGUCCUAAAACAUUUUGGCAAAUGGUGAAAUCUAGACAAAAGAAAGAUGAGAUAAAGACUUGAAACAUAAAGCCCGAUACAUGGAGAAACUACUUUCAGAAUUUAUUAAGGAGGGAUAAUCUUCCUAAUUAAAGGACACAACUUUUAUUGAUGCCGAGUUAUCCGAAGAACAGGAGUCUAUUCUAAAUUUUGAAAUAACACAUAUGAAGAUGAAAUAUUUAAAUCAUUAAUAAAGUAAAACACGAGAAAUCUCAAGAAAAAAGAUUGUUUAGGGGCAGAAUUUUAUAAAUAAUUUCCCUGAUCACUGCUUUUUCAUGUAUUAUUAAAUAAGAUAUUAGAAACUUGCGACUUUCAGAGACAGUAUUAUUGUGCAUAUACAUAAAUCCGGUAAUAAAUCAGACCCGUCAAAAUAUAGUGGUAUAUCCUUGAUAAAUGUAUGUGUAAAAUAUUCUCAAAUAUAAUUUACGACAGUAUGUAUAUUGGCCGAAAUAAUUAACAAAUAGACAAACCUCACGCAGGAUUUAGGACUGGAUAUUCCACUUUUGAUAAUAUGUUUACU